rfam:Brachypodium distachyon strain Bd21 chromosome 1, whole genome shotgun sequence.
UUUGUACUUUCUUCGUCCAACAAAAGAUGUCUCAACUUUGACUUAAAUGUCAAUGCAUCUAUACACUAAGUAAUGUCUAGAUACAUUUUGACAAAUUUGAGACAUCUUUUGUUAGACGGAGAGAGUAUGAA